CUGCAGGGUGAAGGCACAGCGCCUUUGUUGCCUAAUUGACUGCAUGUGGCGGAAAUAGACAUGAAUGGGGUGUCAGACCGGAGCCAGAAUGGAACAUUUGGAUGCGGAACUAAAGAAGCCGUCUUAUCGGUCCCCUGUUUGAUUCCCUGUAACCCGUGAUCCAGUGAUCUCCCGAGCUUCCAGUGGUUCCUCCGAGCUUGCUUGAUACUAUCCACAUCUGAAAGACGUUCUCACCUGUAUUCAGCCCUGCAGUGAUCUGCACCGAACCCGCACCGGAAUUCACAGAAUACUCACCUUGCACUUGAGAUUCUGAAAAUAAACACUGUUUGGAUUCACUUACCUUUGCCUCUUGUCUAUAUCCUGACACUGGGCUUCUGAUAUUCCUCAUUGAAUCAGACAUUUAUCUUGAAUUAUGUUGUUACAUUAAAUUGUCAUUUAAGAGCUUAUCUCAGAACAUUAAUACCUUUAUCAAUCAUCU
ensembl:lncRNA